rnacentral:rRNA from 1 species
UCGAGAAUUUUUCACAAUGGGGGAAACCCUGAUGGAGCGACGCCGCGUGGGGGAUGAAUGGCUUCGGCCCGUAAACCCCUGUCAUUUGCGAUCAAACCUUACGACCUAACACGUCGUAAGCUGAUAGUAGCGGAAGAGGAAGGGACGGCUAACUCUGUGCCAGCAGCCGCGGUAAUACAGAGGUCCCAAGCGUUGUUCGGAUUCACUGGGCGUAAAGGGUGCGUAGGCGGUCGGGUAAGUCUGACGUGAAAUCUUCAAGCUUAACUUGGAAACUGCGUCGGAUACUAUUCGGCUGGAGGAAUGGAGGGGAGACUGGAAUACUUGGUGUAGCAGUGAAAUGCGUAGAUAUCAAGUGGAACACCAGUGGCGAAGGCGAGUCUCUGGACAUUUCCUGACGCUGAGGCACGAAAGCCAGGGGAGCAAACGG